GUUGAGAUGGUAGAACGGCAGCUUCCCAAGCUGCAUACGAGGGUUCGAUUCCCUU
rnacentral:tRNA from 1 species